GUGUCUGCUGCUGAAGAAUCAUGUAAGAAUGCCCAACAACUGGAAAAGGAAAUUUCUGCAGAUAAGGAGUUGGAGCUUGAGGUCAGUUUUGAUGCAGGUUGGCAGAAACGGGGAUCCGGAUUUAAUUACAAUAGCUUAACAGGACAUGCUUCAAUGAUAGGAAAGCAAACAGGGAAAGUGACCUGUUAUGAUAUCAGAAGUAAA